CGAACAUGCUCGAGGACACCACAGAUGGAUUUACAACUUUACCAAAAUUAGUCCUCGGGAUAUACUGAUCGGGGAUAUUGUAAAAUGUCACCAUCAUAGGCCCCCGUGCAUAUAUGCUCGAAGAAAUGCUCGAGGAUAUGAUGCAAAGAGACUAGAAAUAAAAGCUCGAGUUUUAGCUCGGGGAUUUCUGAACACCUGUGCUUGAUCAAAAGGCUGACGCGUACUGACGUCAGCCCUAGAAUAGGAAAAGGCGGUAAAAAUUGGUAGGGUUAGAUGUGGGACACGUGUCCAGAUCUAACGGUCGAGGUAGUGACCUUUGGGCUUCCUGCUCCUGUUACCUAUAAAUACCCUCCCCUCAUUUCAUUUUUCACUUUUUACUCUCAGUAAACUUCUCUCGCUAAUCGUCGGGAUCGGACUUUGAGUUUUUAGACGUCGACUUUAAGGUAAGACCUCGAGUUUUUAAGUUAUUCUUU
rnacentral:lncRNA from 1 species